rnacentral:rRNA from 1 species
AUUGAACGCUGGCGGCAGGCCUAACACAUGCAAGUCGAGCGGACGAAGGGAGCUUGCGCCUGGAUUCAGCGGCGGACGGGCGAGUAAUGCCUAGGAAUCUGACUGGCCGUGGGGGAUAACGUCCGGAAACGGGCGCUAAUACCGCACACGUCCUGAGGGAGAAAGUGGGGGAUCUUUGGUCCACACGCGAUUAGAUGAGCCUAGUUCGGAGUAGCUAGUUGGUGGGGUAAAGGCGUACCAAGGCGACGAUCCGUAACUGGUCUGAGAGGAUGAUCAGCCACACUGGAACUGAGACACGGUCCAGACUCCUACGGGAGGCAGCAGUGGGGAAUCUUCGACAAUGGGCGAAAGCCUGAUCCAGCCAUGCCGCGUGUGUGAAGAAGGUCUUCGGAUUGUAAAGCUCUUUAAGUUGGGAGGAAGGACAGUAAGUUAAUACCUUCCUGUUUUGACGUUACCAACAGAAUAAGCACCGGCUAACUUCGUG